GCAACUGUAGCUCAGUUGGUAGAGCAUGGUGUUUGCAACGAACAGGGUUGUGGGUUCGAUUCCCACGGGGGGCC
rnacentral:tRNA from 1 species